CGGGGUGUGGCCCAGUUGGCUAGGGCACUUGACUGGGGGUCAAGGGGUCGUCGGUUCGAGUCCGGCCACCCCGA
rnacentral:tRNA from 2 species